CAGCCCCUCCGGUCUCUGGCAUCUCAGCCCGGAGCCAAUGGGAGUGGGGGCUGUUGGCCAAGGGAAUCAAAGGGCAGGAAACAGGCUAAUCAUAGAUGAGAACGGCGAUAAAACCACUGCUCUUUUGAACUCAGCAGCAGUCACUGACCGACCCAGGAUAAUAGCACAAGGAUGGAGACGGUUAUGUUGACUUAACCUUCGCUCGAUGAAGAUGUCAGAACCCCUGUCAGCCUGAGUCCUUGAAUGACACUUGGGUGGUGGAGACAGCCUAACUUCUGCCGAGACGGAAAACCCAUUUUGGACUGAGAGGAGAUGCCACCAGGCACUGAGGAUAUGCUGCUUGCUGAACAUGUGUAGAGAAACGGAACUGUGUGGCACAAAGCAGUGGACAUGGCAGCCAUGGAAGUCUCUCUUCAAGAGAAGGUGCUCUAAGGAGGAUGGUUCAUGGGAAGCUUCCAGAUGGGCAUCUUCAGAUCUGACACAGCAUUUACCUGAGGGCUUGAUUUUCAAGGGUUGCUCCUACCCACUGACCAAGCAUGUCAAUAAAUGGAAAAAGGAGCUAUCUAUGACUCCGUUGAAUCAAAUCUUCUGUCAUUCCAUGAAUGGAGGAAAUAAGGAGAGGAUGAAAAUGGCCUUUGUUCCAAUGAUAACGGCGCCCGUGGCUGAGCAUGAGCAACAUGCCUGGAGUUUUUCGUAGCUGCUCUCACCCCCAAGGGCACUGCAAGUGAUCAGGGCAAAACAGACGCUUCUGCCAGAGAAUUCCAGAGAAGCAGAUCCUGGUCAGAUGCCACAGGCCUCAGCAGGCUGGGCACCAAGAGGGACUUAGAUAUGAAUGAGCCCGUCCUUGUCUU